GGCCGCCGAAGAACUGCAUCCUGGUGAAGAUCAGGAGGAAAAUAUCUUUCCCAGAACCAGUUUCUCAGCUGAAGCCGACAUCAGCCAGGCACGGAUCAUCGCCAGCUCCUAAAAUGUCAUUCCUCUAAGUCUCCAGUGCCUCAGCUUUGGCUCGGUCAGUUCUGAUGGAACCAUAAACUUCAAACGGGCUCAGCGCCCGACUGGCAGAAUGCAUUUCUCUCUCUUUUUCCUCUGGCGGCCGGCCACUGGAAGUGAGCUAAUCGCUCCUUACACAGACCUCCCUGAGUCCUGGCCAAAGGAAUCUGAACAUUAUCCAAACCAAUGACCGAAAUGUUGAAAGCUGGCUCGCGGAUCCAGAGAUGGAAUUAUACAAGACAAACAUCCCCCUUUCUCUCCAGCCACCCUUUCUGUUAAGACUGUAAUGACCGCUGUGAAACUGCACACAGACUAACAUAUGUUUGUCAUUACCGCACAGUACACGGUGUGCGCUUUUAUUUGCUGUCAUUUGUGUUGAAAAUGCAAUGUCUGAUCCAGUAAGCUGUCAGGGAUAUUUUUGCUGUAAUGGAUUGUCAGUAAGUCUCUCAGAAAGCCAUAUGUUUUAGUAUAUAUAUCAUAAAACCGCUGAGACUCUGAAUUCAGGAAACAAACAGAGGACUUCUAGACUCUCCUAUGGAGCUCAACGGGCAGCCGUCUCCUCCAGCUGCUCGGUAUCACGGCCUGGCGUUUCCUCCACAGCCUUCCCAGUGCACCCCUCUGACCGAGCACCAUCCGGCAGAGAGAAACCCUGGAGAACAGGCUGGCAGAUUGGUUGGAGCAACAGCUCAUGGCCAGAAUGAUCACUGGAAUAUUCCCUCAGCCCGUCCAGACUGAUCCGGCAGCCAGCCAAUCAGAGACAGAGAAUAGUGUGACAUCAGGCAUUGCUGAGAAUGGUUUAUUUCUAUGUUUAUAAUUGUGACUUUAGGCCUCACAAUGAGACUUUGUCUUAUUUUAAACUCUAUGAAUUUGGCGUUAAACAUAUUUGAAAGCUCCCAGUUUAGUAGCUAUGAAGUUUGUCUGUCUGCGGUUUAACCAUCAUACAUCAUCACCAAUUUACAAGUGUGUCUGGUCAAUGUUCAAAAUCAAAUAAUGCAUGACAUAAACCAGCAAGAAUGGUCGAGCUGCACCAGGUUCCAAUCUAUAAGCUCAUCAUUUUGAUUCAUAGUGUUUAUGAAUGAGAGCAGUGCAUUUGUCAAGAGUGUCAGCACGCAUCAAGAUUGUAUUUCCUCAUUAAAACACGAUUGCUUGUGCUCAUCCUCUCUACUCCUCCUCCGCUCGAUCCUUCCAUCUCCUUCGCGUCACUUCUGCUCAGUCGGCGAGGAGGUCCUGCCUCAUUAAUUCUCGCUUUCAUUUAAUAGGAAGAUCAAUGAUGUAUCAAAUUUGCAGAGGAGGCUCGCAGCAAACUGUUGUCAGCAUAUUCCCAGACU